CCCUGGGCUAGAGGAGACUCGCUGGGCGUCGGCGGGGCGAGAGUGAUGAGGGUGAUUCCGCGCGGGAGCCCUGCCUGCCCUGUGCUAAACCUUCACCCAGGCGACUUCGUGUAAUCUUCACGGCAGCCCUGUGCGGAGGAACGGCUGUUCUCGCUUUACAGAUGGGGAAACUGAGGCACGGACUGGUGUGUAUUUGAAGAAUGAGUGGGGAAAAGAUUAGAAGACACUGAUUAGUCGUUGCACGAAAACUUGGCUGUCGUUAGUUACAACGUGUGACCCUCAGGUAACAGCUAGGUCAGGGCUUGCCUGCCGGUGGGAGGAGUGGACCCCCAUCCGCAGGCUCAGAAAUCCCGUUGAGACCAGCGGUAAGGACAACAGAAGACAGAGUUGGGAUCAUCAGUGCUUGGAGAGCUGGCUGGCCCUCCUCAAGCUGAGAGACAGCCACCAGCAGACCAGAGAAGUCAUGGCAACUAAAUGCAACGUGGGACCCUUGCCUGGAUCCUGGAGCAGAAAGAAAAACUGGCAGAAUCCAACUAAAGUCUGGAGUAUGGUUGACAGCAAUGUACCAAUGUUAGUUUCUUAGUCUUGACCAAUGUAAGGGCCCUUAAGUGGGAGAAACUGGAGUAUAUGGAAACUCCCUGGAACAUCUUUGCAGCUUUUCUGUAAAUCUAAAAUUAUUCCAAAAUAAAACGUUUGUUUAA